rnacentral:rRNA from 1 species
GACGAACGCUGGCGGCGUGCCUAAUACAUGCAAGUAGAACGCACAGUUUAUACCGUUGCUUGUUACACCAUAAACUGUGAGUUGCGAACGGGUGAGUAACGCGUAGGUAACCUGCCUGGUAGCGGGGGCUAACUAUUGGAAACGAUAGCUAAUACCGCCUAAUAUUGAUUCUUGCAUGAUAAUUGAUUGAAAGAUGCUAUUGCAUCACUACCAGAUGGACCUGCGUUGUAUUAGCUAGUAGGUGAGGUAACGGCUCACCUAGGCGACGAUACAUAGCUGACCGGAGAGAGUGGUCGGCCACACAGGGACGGAGACACGGCCCAGACACCCACGUGAGGCAGCAGUAGGGAAUCUUCAGCGAUGGACGAGAGUCUGACCGAUCAAGACCGGGUGAGUGAAGAAUGGUUGCGUAUCGUAUAGGUCUGUUGUAAGAGAGGAACGGAUGUGAGAGUGGAAUGUUCACAGUUUGACGGUAGCUUACCAGAAAGGGACGGCUAACUACGUG